rnacentral:rRNA from 1 species
AUUGAACGCUGGCGGCAGGCCUAACACAUGCAAGUCGAGCGAGCGGCGGACGGGUGAGUAAUGUAUGGGGAUCUGCCCGAUAGAGGGGGAUAACUACUCGAAAGAGUGGCUAAUACCGCAUACUAUUGGAGCGGCCGAUAUCGGAUUAGCUAGUUGGUGGGGUAAAGGCUCACCAAGGCAACGAUCCGUAGCUGGUUUGAGAGGACGACCAGGCACACGGGGACUGAGAAACGGCCCAGACUCCUACGGGAGGCAGCAGUGGGGAAUUUUGGACAAAGGGGGAAACCCUGAUGCAGCCAUCGCGCGUGUAAGAGAAGGCCUGCGGGUUGUAAAGUACGUGUGGAAGAGAAGCGGUAGAUGCAGAAUAAGCACCGGCUAACUACGUGCCAGCAGCCGCGGUAAUUC